AGCAGCCGCGGUAAUUCCAGCUCCAAUAGCGUAUAUUAAAGUUGUUGCAGUUAAAAAGCUCGUAGUUGAAUUUCGGGAUCAAUAUAUCGGUCGUGCCUUGGUACGUACUGGUAUCAUUGGUUUCUCCUUUCUGACGAACCAUGAUGUCAUUAAUUUGGUGUUAUGGGAAGUUAGGACUGUUACUUUGAAAAAAUUAGAGUGUUUAAAGCAGGCUUUAGCUUGAAUACAUUAGCAUGGAAUAAUGAAAUAGGACGCUCGAACCUAUUUUGUUGGUUUCUAGGAUCAACGUAAUGAUUAAUAGGGAUAGUUGGGGGCAUUAGUAUUCAAUUGUCAGAGGUGAAAUUCUUGGAUUUAUUGAAGACUAACUACUGCGAAAGCAUUUGCCAAGGAUGUUUUCAUUAAUCAAGAACGAAAGUUAGGGGAUCGAAGACGAUCAGAUACCGUCGUAGUCUUAACCAUAAACUAUGCCGACUAGGGAUCGGAUGAUGUUAAUUUUUAAUGACUCAUUCGGCGCCUUACG
rnacentral:rRNA from 1 species